GCCAGCAGCCAUAUCACUCUGCAACUCCCAGCUGGCUGCCCCCUGAAGCUCAGCAGGUGUGAGCCUGGUCAGUACCUGGAUAGGAGACCCCCUGGGAAAAACUAAGGCUGCUGCUGGAA
rnacentral:rRNA from 1 species